rnacentral:rRNA from 1 species
AGUGAACGCUGGCGGUAGGCCUAACACAUGCAAGUCGAACGGCAGCACAGGAGAGCUUGCUCUCUGGGUGGCGAGUGGCGGACGGGUGAGGAAUACAUCGGAAUCUACUUUUUCGUGGGGGAUAACGUAGGGAAACUUACGCUAAUACCGCAUACGACCUACGGGUGAAAGCAGGGGACCUUCGGGCCUUGCGCGAUUGAAUGAGCCGAUGUCGGAUUAGCUAGUUGGCGGGGUAAAGGCCCACCAAGGCGACGAUCCGUAGCUGGUCUGAGAGGAUGAUCAGCCACACUGGAACUGAGACACGGUCCAGAAUCCUACGGGAGGCAGCAGUGGGGAAUAUUGGACAAUGGGCGCAAGGCUGAUCCAGCCAUACCGCGUGGGUGAGGAAGGCCUUCGGGUUGUAAAGCCCUUUUGUUGGGAAAGAAAUCCAGCUGGCUAAUACCCGGUUGGGAUGACGGUACCCAAAGAAUAAGCACCGGCUAACUUCGUGCCAGCCGCCGCAGUAA